AAUGGAGCCCAAUUUCAGCCCGUUUUAUUUCCAUUUUCCAGGUUUCUAGUUGGGCCCGAGUGGGACGGCGGACGGCCAGAGAACGGAAAAACUCUGGUCAGUCUUCUGCUUUCUCUGGGCUUCUUGAACUCUUUCCCUCUUCCAGAGCCCGUGUCGAUCAUCAAUGGAGGCAGAUCUUUUGAAUAAUGUUUUUCCAUUUGAGGAACCAGACUGCAAAUUCUUCAAAAUCUGCUUCACAUUUGGUCCACCAUCAUCACAAAUCGAAUUCUCGAGCCAGCUGUUAUUGCCUUUUUCCUGCUUCUUGCCCCUCUCUACUGUUGAGCUUUAACAUGCUUUUGUUGUUAUAGUCUCUAUGUGUAUCUUCCAUGUUCAUGAUCAAUUGAUCAUCCCGAAUUUAUUAUAUAUUCAGUUUCUGAAUGGUAAUAAGUAAUUGACCCUGUGUAAAUGGUAUGAAAUUAUGUGAUUGUUGUGACUUUUCUUUUUCAAUUUUGAAUAUUAACGAGAGAAAGUCUUCAUUGUUUAUUUCUCUUCAUUGAUUUUUCUCUUGAUAUGCUAAAUGGAUUUCAAAUGUGUUCAUUUUCAGAACUCUCCUCUGUACAUUGCAUGGCGGUGUUAUUAGCAGUGGAUGGAUAUAAACAUCUAAACAAUUGGAACUAACUGUGCAGUAGACAAUUUUUUGAGGAAGCUGUGGUUUAUGAAUUUGUAAAUUAUAUAAUAUGGCAAGGAUAUAUCUAUAAGUCAACAAUUUUUUUCAUCCUUUUUUUGUGCAGUUAUUAAAUGUUUUUAGUUGUAAAUGACGGUAAUUUAAUUGUACAAGAAUUUGUAAUUCAUCUAUGGGUCAAGUUGUCUCAUGAAUCAUUCCUUAAAAUCUAUAGACAAACUGUUCUCUUAUGCACAGGACAAGUUGGCUAUGAAUAUGAUGACAUUGUGAUAUGUUUGGUACUUGUCUAAGCAUAUUCAAGAAGUAUUGGAAACAACAGGAUAGCCAAAUGUUCUGUUUGACAAUUAGGACAUCUUUUCUAGAUAUCAAACGUGUAAAAAGUAUCAUUUGUCAUUCAUUUGAAAGAAUACACAAAAAUCUUGAAUAUGUUCGUCUCCUAAUUAGUUGAUGGUUACUUAUAUACAUGAAAGCACAAAAAAGUUGCCGGUGAAAUUUCUAGUUUGAGACAUAAAAAUAUGUUUAUGCAGGAAAGCCUUGAUCUUGGAAAUAUGAAAUAGAAAUGGUGGCAAAUUGCUGCAUUUUAUGUAAGCUCAGGACUCAUUUUCUAUUUUGGAAACAAUUUAUUAAGCUUCCUUUUGUGUAACAAAUGCAACUUUUGUAUCUCUUUUUUUCUCCUUUACAUUUCUUACGUUUGUGCUGCCUUUUACUGUUGCUCUCUUCUCUCUUCUCAUUCAUCAUCAAUGAAGGCAAAGAUAUUGUGUAUUGCUUAUGCUUUUAUUGCAAGACCCGAUAUUGCAAUUUAUGUUAGACCCAUUUCACACUUGGUUCAUAAUUUCCCAGAAACCCUUUUUAUGUUCAGAUGUAUGGAUUUCAUGAGUUUUUUGGCCAUCUUAUAGCAUUUUGCUUCUUUUUCAUGUAGAUAUGCAAAGGGUGGGGUGGAUGAGAUCCAGAGCUUGAGUCUAGAAAAUAUAAGGCAGUCAUUAAUCCAACAAGUGGAUAGCAUAAUAUUUAGCCUUUUGUUGAGGGCUCAGUAUGACUAUCAUGCUGACACAUAUGACCCUGAUGCAUUUUCCAUUCCAUGAAAGGUGUCAUGGGUCAAUGGUUGAAUAUAUUGUUAGAGAAACUGAAAAGCUCCAUGCUCAGGUAACUAGGAAAAAUAUUGGGCAGACUGCCACAAUUAUGAAUUUUAAAAAUCAUCUGAUCAAUCUAUCUAUUCAAAUUAGAUGGGCCCGUACCAAAGUCCAGAUGAGCAUCCAUAUAUUCUAGAAUACUUGCCAAACCAAUGCUCCCAUUCUUGCAGUGCCAGCAGGUGAGGAUCUUAGGCAGCAAUCCCAACUAAACAGUUAGAACAAAUUCCAUUAGACUUAAUUAUAUCUGAUGGCAAACAUUUUACAACUGCAAGUUAAUAAAUUCCCAUGCAUAUGCUUGCUAUUGGAAAGAAUUAAAUCUCAAGAGAGUACUGUAAUCUGCAAAUUUUCAACUUAAUAUCACCUCUGACCUAUUUCGGUGAGUAGUUACAUUAGUUGGCUUAAAUUUAAUACUUCUUUAUCACUUGCUGCUGUUUAAUGCUGGUUCAAAACUAUUUUUGUGAUCAAAUUGAUAUCUACUGAUUAUCUCCUUGUUGCAAAUUUAUUUUAAAAGAUAAAGGAGUUUUAGUUUAGAUCUAGUGAGACUUGUCCAUUCCUUCUAUUCCAUUCAAUUAAAUAUGCUGAUUGCAUUUCUUUAAGGGCCAAGUCUUUGCUCUGAACGCUGGCAUGGAUUGUUAUGCCAUGAACUAUGAGUAUGGUUUGCUAAGCUAACCUCUUCAGCCCAGGCACUGUCAAGGAGAAUCGACUACAGAAAAUUUGUGGCUGAGGCUAAAUUCCUAGAAUCCCUGGCUGAUUCUUGUGGAUGGUAGAAAACUCAUGGAGAUGCUGACAUACGAAUCUGUGGAAGCAGCAGUCAAGAAGAAAGUAGAAAUGAAAGCAAAAGCAUUCGGCCAAGGCGUAACAAUUAUCCCACUGGAAGAAGAAGCUGAGCCGAUGUAUAAAGUGAAGCCAAGUUCACUUGUUAACCUGUAUGGCAAUUGGAUCAUGCUUCUUACUGAGGAAGUUCAAGUUGAAUAGGCUUGAUUUACGUAGAAUACGCUUUUUUCGUGCUUUUAAGGAGCUUAGUUUGAAGAGUUCAUUG